AUGAAAUAAUGUCAGAACUAAGGAUUGCUCUCCAACCUUGAGGGCCACAGAGGAGUUUCUGUUUCAGUCCAGGCUCCGUGGCAAGCUGACACCAAAUGGCUAUUCGCCAACUGAAGGUCCCACAUUUGGAAGGUUUUACGCCAGGAAAGCUGUGCACACUCAUGAUUCUGGUGCUGAGAAGGCAGAGGCAUGUGGAUCCCUGUAGCUGGCUGACCGACCAGUGCCCUUAUCGCUUGUCCAUAUGAGAGCCGUCCUGUGUCUCAGGCUGAGAAACCAUUUUUGGACCUCCUGUCAUCUAGGAGCUUGAGGAGAUAGCUCAUCACUCUUUAUCGUGAGCUCGUGAGUGACUGUUCUCUUCCUCUCUUGUACUUUUGGGGUUCUUUCUUCCAUAUUUUUAACAACUUCCCAUAAUGCUGCUGCUCUCCUUCUCCACAGCACUUGGUGUCAGCUGGGUCUUCUUCUUAACAAACAGUUGCUCUGUGCACAUCAGUCUCUAAUCCUGUCGAUAGUUGGAUUUUCCUCAUGGUGGAUUUUAGCCUUACACAGACCAGCUUUCAAAUAUAUGGUUGUGGAAUCUGA